rnacentral:rRNA from 1 species
GGAGGGGGUUAGCGUUGUUCGGAAUUACUGGGCGUAAAGCGCGCGUAGGCGAUUAGAAAGUUGGGGGUGAAAUCCCGGGGCUCAACCUCGGAACUGCCUCCAAAACUGCUAGUCUAGAGUUCGAGAGAGGUGAGUGGAAUUCCGAGUGUAGAGGUGAAAUUCGUAGAUAUUCGGAGGAACACCAGUGGCGAAGGCGGCUCACUGGCUCGAUACUGACGCUGAGGUGCGAAAGUGUGGGGAGCAAACAGGAUUAGAUACCCUGGUAGUCCACACCGUAAACGAUGAAUGCCAGUCGUCGGGUAGUAUACUAUUCGGUGACACACCUAACGGAUUAAGCAUUCCGCCUGGAGUACCGGUCGCAAGAUUAAAACUCAAAGGAAUUGACGGGGCCCGCACAAGGCGUGGAGCAUGUGGUUUAAUUCGAAGCAACGCCAGAACCUUACCAACCCUUGACAUCCUGUGCUACAUCCAGAGAUGGAUGGUUUCCCUUCGGGACCGCAGUGACAGGU